rnacentral:tRNA from 1 species
AGGCCCGUAGCUCAAUUGGCAGAGCAGCGGCCUCCAAAGCCGAAGGUUGAGGGUUCGAUUCCUUCCGGGCCUGCCA